rnacentral:rRNA from 1 species
UACGUAGGGUCCAAGCGUUAUCCGGAAUCACUGGGCGUAAAGCGUGCGUAGGUGGCGUGUUAAGUGUGAUGUUAAAUCGUGUGGCUCAACCAUAUCGAUGUGUCGCAUACUGGCAUGCUAGAGGACAGCAGAGGCAAGUGGAAUUUGUAGUGUAGCAGUGAAAUGCGUAGAUAUUACAAGGAGCACCAAUGGCGAAGGCAGCUUGCUGGGCUACUCCUGACACUGAGGUACGAAAGCGUGGGGAGCGAACAGG